GCGACGGUGGUUCAGUGGUAGAAUACUCGCCUGCCACGCGGGUGACCCGGGUUCGAUUCCCGGCUGAGGCA
rnacentral:tRNA from 1 species